GGAAAGAGAGCGUAUUCUAAGUCUUUCAACCAGAAGAAAGAAAGGCAACAGACGUGAACGAGCAGAAGGUCAACUGGGCUAAGUUAGAUCAACCCAGACAUGAUCACAGAGGAUGCUUGAGAAAGGAGCACUGGAAACCGGGGCUGUGGGGAUGAAGAAGCAUGGGCAAGGCUUCAGGCAUGGGCACAGAGAGCCCAGGAGUUUGCUCUUUUGCCCUCAUCCCCAUUGUGUGAACAAUGUAUUCUCAGAGGUCCCCAGUGUGAAGAGUGUGUUUUCAGAGGUCUGCCCAGAGUGUAACUCAAACAGUCCACCACCAGCAUGGCAGAGUUGAUGGAGUCUGCAUGUGCACCAACAGUUGCUCCUGUUUUGAACAAUGAAGUCAUAACAACAACAGCAGCAGCAGCAGAGCAACAACAACAACAACGAAAAAACACGAGGAAAGCAUGGGGACCUGUUGCAUUAAGGAAGAAGUUUGUUUUGGGGGAG
rnacentral:lncRNA from 1 species